UGUUCUUCCCCCCACCUUCAGUUCUGUUUACAUUAGGAAAUCUACCCGGGGAUGAGGGGAAGGAGAAGACGGGAAAGCUGCUUUUCAUCGGCUGCUCUCAGUUCCACUGGCUCCAGUUAAAGCUGGCCCCUGUUUCUCGCACAGGUGAAAUUCAUCAUGUCUGAAUGGGUUUCAGAGGGUGAAGAAGAGAAAGGAAAGAUGCAGGAGAAAAUACCUUGAAACGACCAUUGGGAAGAAAAUGAAAACAGAUGCAUGGAAUGGGAAGAUCCUGCUGGGAACAAUAUGAAAGGCAGUGAAUACAAAAGAAUCACCAGAAUUAACCCAUAGUGAUAGAAAGGCCAUCCUCUGGGACACUGGUGGUGAACCUAUGAAACAGGGGUCAAAGGUGACAUGCCACAACAUUUUAGAUGACAUGCCAGCAUUUAUCAACACCUGGCAACAACUAUUUUUGAAGACACUUUUCAAAAGUAAUCCAUAUGAAAUACAUUGCAGAAGAUGUAUCAAAAUGUGGAUAGCUUUUUCCAAGGCUAACCAAAUUAGGAAGUAUGGCAGUUGGUACAAUAUCCAUAAUUGUGCUAAUAUAUUCCUUAGCAAAGCUGCUACUUUAUCAACCUAAUGACAGCUGGAUAUCAGGAGCACACUCAAACACGCAAGCCUGCUGUUUAUUGGUGAGUAUAAUUCCAUUCAGAACAAGCUUCAUCUCAAUCCCAGAGUCCAACUUUAUCCUUACCAACACUACUCCCAAUCUUGUCUGGAUUAAAUUUUAGUUAAUCCAUUAUGAACAUUAGGCAACAAUCAAAACUAUCACUGCUUAUCUCCUUGGAAUGUCUGGGUGUCUUUAGCAUCCCAGACAUUCCAAGGCAUCCCACACCAAAAUCCUGAAUGAUGCCCAUUUGAAAUGGAUCUAUAAAAGCUGUUUCAUCCUACCACACCACUGGUAUAUUGCCACUUGUCUUAUCAACUUGCCCAAGAAUACAAUAUUUGAGAUUGUAACUAUAAUUUGAAACAUCUACAAGGUAAAGAGAAGGCUUUUUGAUUAAAGUUUUGUAAUCACUGUGUAAUCAAUUUUAUUCUGCUGGGAUAUAAAUGUAAUAAAAGAUAGACUCCUUCUUUUAAGCAUGUAGGGCACAUCUUACCCUCACAUAAGUGAUCAUUUCUCUUAAUCCUGGACUCAAUCACAAUCUGGCCUGUUUAAUCAGUGAGAAGUGCACGGGCCUAGCAAUCAAGUAGCAACUUUCAUUUGUCUACACACUCUGUUCCAGUGGUGAGUUUCAAAUUUUUUUUACUACCGGUUCUAUGGGUGUGGCUUUGUGGGUGUGGCAUGGCUUGGUGGGCGUGGCUUGGUGGGUGUGGCAGGGGAAGGAUACUGUAAAA